AGAGCGUAUGGUGGAUGCCUUGGCACUAAGAGCCGAUGAAAGACGUGAUAAGCUGCGAAAAGCUUCGGGGAGGAGCAAAUAUCCUUUGAUCCGGAGAUUUCUGAAUGGGGAAACCUACUUGAGCAAACCUCAAGUAUCCUUAAGCCAAUACAUAACUUAAGGAAGGGAACCCGGUGAACUGAAACAUCUAAGUAGCCGGAGGAAGAGAAAACAACAUGUGAUUCUGUGAGUAGCGGCGAGCGAAAACGGAAGAGCCCAAACCAGCGUGCGUGCAUGCUGGGGUUCGGACCGCGGAAUUGAUUCAACGAGUUUAGCAGAACGGUUUUGGGAAAGCCGGCCAGAGAGGGUGAAAGCCCCGUAAGCGAAAGACGAGUUGACAUGGCGGGAUCCAGAGUACCACGAGACACGUGGAACCUUGUGGGAAGAUGCGGGGACCACCCCGUAAGGCUAAAUACUACUUAGUGACCGAUAGCGCAUAGUACUGUGAAGGAAAGGUGAAAAGGACCCCGGGAGGGGAGUGAAAAAGAACCUGAAACCAUAUGUUUACAAGCUGUGGAAGAGCUUUAUAUGCUCAACCGCGUACUUUUUGUAGAACGGUCCGGCGAGUUACGCUGGCUGGCGAGGUUAAGGACUAAAGGUCCGGAGCCGAAGGGAAACCAAGUCUGAAUAGGGCGCAUAGUCAGUCGGAGUAGACCCGAAACCGGGUGAUCUAUCCAUGUCCAGGUUGAAGUUGCCGUAAAAGGCAAUGGAGGACCGAACCCACAUCCGUUGAAAAGGGUGGGGAUGAGGUGUGGAUAGGGGAGAAAUUCCAAUCGAACCCGGAGAUAGCUGGUUCUCCUCGAAAUAGCUUUAGGGCUAGCCUCGAUUUAGUCUUAUGGAGGUAGAGCACUGAAUUUCCGCGGGGGCGUCAAAGCUUACCAAAGAAUAUCAAACUCCGAAUGCCAUGUAGAUGAUGAUCGGGAGUCAGACUGCACGAGAUAAGUUGGGCAGUCAAAAGGGAAAGAGCCCAGACCACCGGCUAAGGUCCCAAAGUGCGUGUUAAGUGGAAAAGGAUGUGGGAAUUCGAAGACAACUAGGAUGUUGGCUCAGAAGCAGCCAUACAUUCAAAGAGUGCGUAACAGCUCACUAGUCGAGAGUUCCUGCGCCGAAAAUGUCCGGGGCUGAAACACGACACCGAAGCCGUGGACUCGCAAUGCGAGUGGUAGAGGAGCAUUCUUAAAACCGACGAAGCUGUACCGUAAGGAGCAGUGGAGGGAUAAGAAGAGAGAAUGCCGGAAUGAGUAGCGAGAGAAAGGUGGGAAUCCUUUCGGCCGAAUAUCUAAGGUUUCCAGAGUAAAGCUGAUCUGCUCUGGGUAAGUCGGGGCCUAAGCACAGGUCGCAAGACGUAAGCGAUGGAUAACAGGUUUAGAUUCCUGUACCACGCAUUAUCAGAACUGUAGGGACGCAUGUGGAAAGCACGGGCCGGGAAUGGAAAGACCGGUACAAGCGGGGUAGGUGUACAAUAGGCAAAUCCGUUGUAUAAUCCGAAGACGUGAUGUGGAGCGAAAUAAAGUAGCGAAGCGUGUGAGCCAUGUGCCGAGAAAAGCUGCUAUUGUGUAAUGCGUGCCCGUACCGUAAACCGACACAGGUGGAUGAGGAGAGAAUCCUAAGGCCGGCGGAAGAAGCAUUGUUAAGGAACUCGGCAAAAUGACCCCGUAACUUCGGGAGAAGGGGUGCCACAGCGAUGUGGCCGCAGUGAAUAGUCCCAAGCAACUGUUUAUCAAAAACACAGGUCUCUGCUAAAUCGAAAGAUGAAGUAUAGGGGCUGACGCCUGCCCAGUGCUGGAAGGUUAAGGGGAGCUGUUAGCGCAAGCGAAGCGGUGAACUUAAGCCCCAGUGAACGGCGGCCGUAACUAUAACGGUCCUAAGGUAGCGAAAUUCCUUGUCAGGUAAAUUCUGACCCGCACGAAUGGCGUAAUGAUUUGGGAACUGUCUCAACAAGAGACCCGGCGAAAUUGUAGUAUACGUGAAGAUGCGUAUUAACCUGCGACUGGACGGAGAGACCCCGUAGAGCUUUACUGUAGCUUGGUAUUGAAUUUCGGCAAUGAAUGUACAGGACAUGGAUGCCGCCGCCGUGAUGGACGACGCGGGCAACGUGACGAUUUUCGCCGUCAACCGCGACCUGACCGA
rnacentral:rRNA from 1 species